rnacentral:tRNA from 1 species
CCAGGGGUGCCCGAGCGGUCAAAGGGAGCAGGCUGUAAACCUGCCGGCGCAAGCCUACGAAGGUUCGAAUCCUUCCCCCUGGA